rnacentral:rRNA from 1 species
AUUGAACGCUGGCGGCAGGCCUAACACAUGCAAGUCGAGCGGAAACUUCGGCUCUAGCGGCGGACGGGCGAGUAAUGCGUAGGAAACUACCCGACAGAGGGGGAUACCAGUUGGAAACGACUGUUAAUACCGCAUAAUGUCUACGGACCAAAGUGUGGGACCUUCGGGCCACAUGCUGUCGGAUGCGCCUACGUGGGAUUAGCUAGUGGGUGAGGUAAUGGCUCACCAAGGCGACGAUCCCUAGCUGGUUUGAGAGGAUGAACAGCCACACUGACACUGAGACACGGUCCUGACUCCUACGGGAGGCAGCAGUGGGGAAUAUUGGACAAUGGGCGAAAUCCUGAUCCAGCCAUGCCGCGUGUGUGAAGAAUGUCUUCGGAUUGUAAAGCACUUUAAGUUGGGAGGAAGGGUUGUAGAUUAAUACUCUGCAAUUUUCACGUUACCGACAGAAUAAGCACCGGCUAACUCUGGGUCAGCCGCCGCCGUAAUAC